GGCAAAUUUGCUAAGCACACUACAAAGUGGCUUUAAAAAGCUGUCUCUGAAAAGCAAUGAGAAGCUGCAAAGCUCUUAAAAAGUCUCUGAAUUUGGGAUAUGUAAUCCCAAUUCAGUAGCUAUAAACUAAGCAGCCAUGACUAUCCCCAAACAUUUCGUCUAGUCCGUCCCACUCAAAGUAGGUCCACGCACAACAGCAACAUGGGAGCUUUUCAGAAAUGGAGCUGCUCAGCCCCUCCCUCCAUUUAUCCAAUUAGAACCUGUGCUUCACCACUCCCCAGGUGAUUUCCAUGAACGUUCAAAUUUGAAAAGCGUUGGCCCAGGUAGCAUCCUUAAUGACUUGGUGGCAUCCUUGAUGACUUGGAAGAAAUAUUUCACAAAAUAUUCGUCAUGGCCGCUUGUAUUUGAAUCUUGCCUCCAUCCACCAAAAGACAAUGUCAUACUUGGUUAAGCUCUCGAGGGAGGAUCAUGGAGACAGCAGGAAGGAGCCAACAAACACUCAGCUGGUCUUGAGGGCAGUGGCCAGCAGAAGUCCAGGACUGUGUAGAAUAUCAGUGGGCUUUGGGGCGCCUGGGUGGCUCAGUCGGUUAAGCCUCCAACUUCAGCUCAGGUCAUGAUCUCACAGUUCAUGAGUUCAAUUCCCUCCUCAGGCUCUCUGCUGUCAACACUGCUUCAGAUCCUCUGUCCCCCUCACACUCUGCCCUCCCCCACUUGUGCUGUCUCUCUCAAAAAUAAACAUUAAAAAAUAUUUUUAAAAAAAGAAUAUCAGCUUUGAAGAAGGUCCAGAAUAUUGACACUGACCCAGGAGUCCUGGCAGGGACUCAGAAGAGUAUGCAAGGUUUGAUAUCAUGUGUCUAGAAUGUUCCACUAACCUCUGGAGUCUCUGCCAAACUUAUGCCUCACAGAAAAGCAGCAUUAAGGUGUAAAGGUUCUGUUAUGGGCUGUUUGUGUCCCUCCUAAAUUCAUAUAUUGAAGCCCUAACUUCCGGUAGCAUAGUGUUAGGAGGCGGGGCCUUUAGGUAAUAAUUAGGUAUAGAUGAUGUCAUGAGGGUAGAAUCUCUAUGAUUAAACCAGUGUCUUUAGAAGGAGAGGAUGAGACUAGGGCCUUCCUCUGUCUCUCUGCCAUGGGAGGAUACAGGAAGAAUGCAGCUGUCUGCAAGACAGGGAGAGGGUUCUCAUCAGAACGAGACCAUGCUGGCAUCCUGAUCUCACACUUGCAGCCUCUAAAACUGUGAGAAAGAAAUUGCUGUUGAAAAGUAAUAAAAGCCAAAACCACCAUGAGAUACCACUCAUCAGGAUGGCUACUAUCAAAAACAAAAAAGGACAAACAAAAACCAGUGUUGGUGAGAAUGUGGAGAAAUUGGAACCUUUGGGCCCUGUUGGUAGAAAUGUAAAAUGGUGCAGCUGUUGUGGAAAAUGGUGUAGCAGUUUCUCAAAAAAUAAACAUAGAAUUACCAUA